rnacentral:rRNA from 1 species
UACGUAGGGUCCGAGCGUUGUCCGGAAUUAUUGGGCGUAAAGGGCUCGUAGGCGGUCCGUCACGUCGGGAGUGAAAACUCGGAGCUCAACUCCGAGCCUGCUUCCGAUACGGGCAGACUAGAGGUAGGCAGGGGAGAGCGGAACUCCUGGUGUAGCGGUGGAAUGCGCAGAUAUCAGGAAGAACACCGGUGGCGAAGGCGGCUCUCUGGGCCUUACCUGACGCUGAGGAGCGAAAGCCAGGGGAGCGAAUGGG